rnacentral:lncRNA from 1 species
CAAUUUGCCACUGUAGUGGAGGCGAAGCUGAUGAAGCACAAGAAAGGGAUUGUCAAUGAACAGUUCCUGCUGCAGCGACUGGCAGAUGGAGCCAUUGACCUCUACGCCAUGGUGGUGGUUCUCUCCAGAGCCUCAAGAUCCCUGAGUGAGGGCUACCCGACAGCACAGCAUGAGAAAAUGCUCUGUGAUAGUUGGUGCAUUGAGGUGAGCCUUGGAGCCACCCAGUACAGGUGGGCACUCAGGACAUAGGCCUGACCCUCUUCUUCCCUCUCCCCAGGCUGCAACACGGAUUCGAGAAAACAUGGCCAGCCUUCAGUCCAACCCUCAGCAGCAGGAGCUCUUUCGUAACUUCAGAAGUAUCUCCAAGGCCAUGGUGGAGAAUGGUGGCCUGGUCACCAGUAACCCCCUUAGAGUCUGAAGACUCCUAAUCAGGCCCUAGCACAGUCGUGUGCCUUCUUCUAUGCCAAACACAGGCCCCCUUCAUGGGGGCACUGGAGUACUUACUGCCUUAAGAACAAUAAAUUUUCUACCAAG